UCUUCAGUGCAUGAUCUCUGGUUGCAGAGAUAGCCAGAAGGAUGAACACCUUCCUGGGAUCCAGGGAUAUUUCACACAUGGGGAAAAAAAUAGAGCCCAGUUCUGCCUCCUUUGUCGCUAUCUCUGAAGCAUUGGUCAUAUAUGUUUCUGCACCUUAGCUCAGUGAGAUGGGAACUAACAGCCAUUCGGGGAAGAAUCUCGAGGCCCUUUACGCUCAUUCAAGCAAAGCUCCCACUAACAUUGAUGGAAAUGGUAAGGCCCCCUAGGAUUCAGCCCAGAGUCAAGUACAGGU